rnacentral:rRNA from 1 species
UACGAAGGGGGCUAGCGUUGUUCGGAUUUACUGGGCGUAAAGCGCACGUAGGCGGAUUGUUAAGUCAGGGGUGAAAUCCUGGAGCUCAACUCCAGAACUGCCUUUGAUACUGGCAAUCUAGAGUCCGGAAGAGGUGAGUGGAACUCCUAGUGUAGAGGUGGAAUUCGUAGAUAUUAGGAAGAACACCAGUGGCGAAGGCGGACUCACUGGUCCGGUA